rnacentral:lncRNA from 1 species
CUUUUUGCCAGUACCUCAACCAAGAGGGCUACCCUCCAGGCUAAGGGACUCCAGCACGAGGAGGUUGUGGGAUAUACCACUGUGGAUGGGAACUGAGUAGAAGGAAUUAGAAGUGCUUGUGCCAGAGAAGAUGCCCCAUGCCAAAGAAAUGAGCCACUGGGAGAUCUCACAGGACAGGGCAGAGAACUCACACCUGCCACUCCAAGAGGGAUCAACUUUUUCAGUGCCUUUAACACACAGAAGCCGCCAUCGGCAGCCUGUCAGGAGAAGCCAGAGGAGCAGCAUAAACCAGUAUAAACCAACAAAGGAAGAAGCACAACUCUACCCAGUUAAAAACAGGUUGACUUUUCAGCCCUUUCUUCCUCUUGUCCCCAAACACAGGAGUUGGAGUCUAGAUGAGGAGGUGAAGUGUUCCCUCACUGUGACAGGAUGCCCUGUUGGUUUGUGCUGGUUUCUGCUGCUCCUCUGACUAAUCCCAUCAGGCUGAUGAUGGUGGCCUCUGUGAAAGGCAAUGAAAGAGCCGAUCCCCCAUGGAGAUCUGUGAUGUGUAAGUUGUUCCCCCCUUCCUGUGUCUGUUCUCCGGCGUGGGACAUCCAGCCUGUCCCUCCAGGUCUUUGUUUGGCCUGUCUCUAUAUUACAGUAAGUGGUUAGGCUCCGCAGGCUAUCUCAUCUGGC